rnacentral:siRNA from 1 species
UGUCGGUACGUGUUCUAUAUA